rnacentral:tRNA from 1 species
UCCCUGGUGGUCCAGUGGUGAAGACUUUGCCUUCCAAAGCAAAGGGCACAGGUUGGAUCCCUGGUCAGAGAG